AUCGCCUGGGGAUCUUGUUAAAAUGUAAGUCUGAUUCAGUGAGUCUGGGAUGGGGCCCAAGAUUCUGCAUUUUUAACAAGUUCCCAGGUGAUGCCAGU
rnacentral:pre_miRNA from 1 species